GGGGGCAUGGCGGAAUCGGUAUACGCUGCGGACUUAAAAUCCGUUGGUUUUUAACCAUGAGGGUUCAAGUCCCUCUGCCCCCA
rnacentral:tRNA from 1 species